UCAAACUUGGUCAUUUAGAGGAAGUAAAAGUCGUAACAAGGUCUCCGUAGGUGAACCUGCGGAGGGAUCAUUAAGAAAUGAGUAUAAAAGCGAUGUCGCUCUUCGGGGGGACAAAGCAAACGACGAGCUGAGCGCGAUCGCAACGAUGAAUCGCGCCGCAGUCGUGACACACGAUAACAGUUGACAAACAAAGACAAAAAAGAAAAAACUUUUAACAAUGGAUCUCUUGGCUCUUGCAUCGAUGAAGAACGCAGC
rnacentral:misc_RNA from 1 species